rnacentral:rRNA from 1 species
AUGCACGCUGGCGGCGUGCCUAAUCCAUGCCGGUCGAGCGAACGGACGAGAAGCUUGCUUUUCUGAUGUUAGCGGCGGACGGGUGAGUAACACGUGGAUAACCUACCUAUAAGACUGGGAUAACUUCGGGAAACCGGAGCUAAUACCGGAUAAUAUUUUGAACCGCAUGGUUCAAAAGUGAAAGACGGUCUUGCUGUCACUUAUAGAUGGAUCCGCGCUGCAUUAGCUAGUUGGUAAGGUAACGGCUUACCAAGGCAACGAUGCAUAGCCGACCUGAGAGGGUGAUCGGCCACACUGGAACUGAGACACGGUCCAGACUCCUACGGGAGGCAGCAGUAGGGAAUCUUCCGCAAUGGGCGAAAGCCUGACGGAGCAACGCCGCGUGAGUGAUGAAGGUCUUCGGAUCGUAAAACUCUGUUAUUAGGGAAGAACAUAUGUGUAAGUAACUGUGCACAUCUUGACGGUACCUAAUCAGAAAGCCACGGCUAACUACGUG